rnacentral:tmRNA from 1 species
GGGGGUGUACUGGCUUCGACAGGGCGGGCAAAGGUGCGCAGGCAACCCGAGAGGUGACGGACGUAAUCCGCACAAAUCCAUAAUUGCCAAUGAUGAGCAAUUCGCUAUCGCCGCCUAAAAACGGCUAGCUGGGGCCGCUGAAGCCUUAUUACCCAAGACAGCCGGC